rnacentral:rRNA from 1 species
UACGGAGGAUGCAGGCGUUAUCCGGAUUUAUUAGGUUUAAAGGGUGCGUAGACGGGUUUGUAAGUCAGUGGUGAAAUCCUACGGCUUAACUGUAGAACAGCCAUUGAUACUACAGACCUUGAAUGCAGUUGAGGUAGGCGGAAUGUGUCGUGUAGCGGUGAAAUGCUUAGAUAUGACACAGAACACCGAUUGCGAAGGCAGCUUGCUAAACUGUGAUUGACGUUGAGGCACGAAAGCGUGGGGAUCAAACAGG